AGUUCUAAGGUGUACAGCACGUAAGACUGCAAAUCUUAAAGGGCAGAUUAGCGUCUGCUAGGACUU
rnacentral:tRNA from 1 species